CCUCCUUAAACGAAGCCGAACGCUUCGGUCAGAGUCCACACGAAUUACUUGGUUAACUUGAGAAGAGAGCAAAAGGGUCAACAGACCCGUACCUUUGGGUCUGUAGCUCAGUUGGUUAGAGCGCACCCCUGAUAAGGGUGAGGUCGGUGGUUCAAAUCCACCCAGACCCACCAGUAUUUCACUGCUCGUCGUUGUCGAUGCACUUGCAUAGCAGGCUAUGCGGCGCACCUCGACGCCUAGAUCAGUAAAAUCCUGGUCCAUAUGCGACGUAAGCAGAAGCGCCGGACAGAUUUCGUUAAUCUAGGCCCAACGAGAGUGAAUGAAGGAAUGGCCCUCCAUGGGUCAUGACUGAUGCGAACGAACGUUGCAACGACCAGUAACGGAAGCUGGACAAGCAUCUGGGGCUAUAGCUCAACUGGGAGAGCGCCUGCCUUGCACGCAGGAGGUCUGCGGUUCGAUCCCGCAUAGCUC
rnacentral:misc_RNA from 1 species